CCCUCUCAGGAUGAACGCUGGCGGCGUGCCUAAUACAUGCAAGUCGAGCGAACUGAUUAGAAGCUUGCUUCUAUGACGUUAGCGGCGGACGGGUGAGUAACACGUGGGCAACCUGCCUGUAAGACUGGGAUAACUUCGGGAAACCGAAGCUAAUACCGGAUAGGAUCUUCUCCUUCAUGGGAGAUGAUUGAAAGAUGGUUUCGGCUAUCACUUACAGAUGGGCCCGCGGUGCAUUAGCUAGUUGGUGAGGUAACGGCUCACCAAGGCAACGAUGCAUAGCCGACCUGAGAGGGUGAUCGGCCACACUGGGACUGAGACACGGCCCAGACUCCUACGGGAGGCAGCAGUAGGGAAUCUUCCGCAAUGGACGAAAGUCUGACGGAGCAACGCCGCGUGAGUGAUGAAGGCUUUCGGGUCGUAAAACUCUGUUGUUAGGGAAGAACAAGUACAAGAGUAACUGCUUGUACCUUGACGGUACCUAACCAGAAAGCCACGGCUAACUACGUGCCAGCAGCCGCGGUAAUACGUAGGUGGCAAGCGUUAUCCGGAAUUAUUGGGCGUAAAGCGCGCGCAGGCGGUUUCUUAAGUCUGAUGUGAAAGCCCACGGCUCAACCGUGGAGGGUCAUUGGAAACUGGGGAACUUGAGUGCAGAAGAGAAAAGCGGAAUUCCACGUGUAGCGGUGAAAUGCGUAGAGAUGUGGAGGAACCACCCAGUGGCGAAGGCGGCUUUUUGGUUCUGUAACUACGCU
rnacentral:rRNA from 2 species